GUACUCACUCUGGCAGCAUAUAUACUAAAAUUGAAACAAUACAGAAAAGAUUAGCAUGGCCCCUGGGCAAGGAUGACCUGCAAAUUCAUGAUGCGUUCCAUAUUUUG